UCCCCGGUAGCUCAGCGGUAGAGCGAGUGACUGUUAAUCACUGGGUCGGCGGUUCGAAUCCGUCCCGGGGAGCCA
rnacentral:tRNA from 3 species